UAGGGAAUCUUCCGCAAUGGACGAAAGUCUGACGGAGCAACGCCGCGUGAGUGAAGAAGGAUUUCGGUUCGUAAAACUCUGUUGUUAGGGAAGAAAAAAUGUAUAGUAACUAUAUACAAAAGAGACGGUACCUAACCAGAAAGCCACGGCUAACUACGUGCCAGCAGCCGCGGUAAUACGUAGGUGGCAAGCGUUGUCCGGAAUUAUUGGGCGUAAAGCGCGCGCAGGUGGUUUAGAAAGUCUGAUGUGAAAGCCCACGGCUCAACCGUGGAGGGUCAUUGGAAACUAAUAAACUUGAGUGCAGGAGAGAAAAGUGGAAUUCCUAGUGUAGCGGUGAAAUGCGUAGAGAUUAGGAGGAACACCGGUGGCGAAAGCGGCUUUUUGGCCUGCAACUGACACUGAGGCGCGAAAGCGUGGGGGGCAAACAGG
rnacentral:rRNA from 1 species